rnacentral:lncRNA from 1 species
GCCUCGUUGCCCAUAUAGACAACCUGCCAUAUCAAGAGGGCGUUCCACUUGCGUCCAACCACGAAGAAAGCUACACAGAGAUUGCUACAUCAAGUUCCGGAAGCUACUACCCGGACAGGGAGAUACUUGUUAUUACUUAGAAUAACAACCCGGGUACUAGCCAGAAUAGAACCCCCAGGCGACUAGCACAAGUCGACCACAUCUCCGAAGAUGAGUCUACAGCUGACGCCCCUCACAUUGAAACUUCC